rnacentral:rRNA from 1 species
GUCUUUUUGAUUAUAAUUUAAAGUCUAACCUGCCCACUGAAAUUUUUGAAGGGCCGCGGUAUUUUGACUGUGCAAAGGUAGCAUAAUCAUUAGUCUUUUAAUUGGAGGCUUGUAUGAAUGGUUGGAUGAGGUAUUAACUGUCUCAAUUUAAUAAAUAAUAGAAUUUUAUUUUUAAGUUAAAAAGCUUAAAUAUUAUUAAAAGACGAGAAGACCCUAUAGAUCUUUAUAAUUAGAUUUAUAAUAAUUUUUUGGAUUAAAUUUAUUUUUAUAGAAAUAAUUAUUAUAUUGGGGUGAUAAAAAAAUUUGUUAAACUUUUUUUUAAUAUAAACAAUAAUAUUUGAUUAGUUGAUCCAUUUUUUGUGAUUAUAAGAUUAAGUUACCUUAGGGAUAACAGCGUAAUUUUUUUGGAGAGUUCUUAUCGAUAAAAAAGAUUGCGACCUCGAUGUUGAAUUAAAGGUUAAUUUUAGGUGUAGAAGUUUAAAAUUUUGGUCUGUUCGACCAUUAAAUC